ACAUCACAGUUCAGGCUGGAUCUGAUUUAUCUCUAGAGAAACUACAACUCCCUUCUACCUCACAGUUCAGGCUGGAUCUGAUUUAUCUCUAGAGAAACUACAACUCCCUUCUACCUCACAGUUCAGGCUGGAUCUGAUUUAUCUCUAGAGAAACUACAACUCCCUACUACAUCACAGUUCAGGCUGGAUCUGAUUCAUCUCUAGAGAAACUACAACUCCCUACUACAUCACAGAUCAGGCUGGAUCUGAUUUAUCUCUAGAGAAACUACAACUCCCUACUUCAAUGGGGCAUUGAGCUCAUAUAAAAAAUAAAAAAUGUUUCAAUGUAAAUUCAAUUUUGGUUAAUCGCUCAGCACUACCAACCAAAUUGCGCCCUGGGAAUUCAGCCAAUCAGCGGGCGCAGCAGGUGUAGACUUUACUGUGAAAUGCUGACUGACAAUAAUGAGACUAUAUACACAAGGAGUACCAGUAUAAAGACCCUAGAGCAGUGACCCCAUGUAUAAAGACCCUAGAGCAGUGACCCCAGUGACCCCAUGUAUAAAGACCCUAGAGCAGUGAC
rnacentral:lncRNA from 13 species